rnacentral:rRNA from 1 species
UACGUAGGGCGCAAGCGUUGUCCGGAAUUAUUGGGCGUAAAGAGCUCGUAGGCGGCUUGUCACGUCGGGUGUGAAAGACCGGGGCUUAACCCCGGUUCUGCAUUCGAUACGGGCUGGCUAGAGGCAGGUAGGGGAGAACGGAAUUCCCGGUGUAACGGUGAAAUGCGCAGAUAUCAGGAGGAACACCGGUGGCGAAGGCGGAUCUCUGGGCCAUUACUGACGCUGAGGAGCGAAAGCGUGGGGAGCGAACAGG